GACGAACGCUGGCGGCGUGCUUAACACAUGCAAGUCGAACGGAAAGGCCCUGCUUGCCGGGUACUCGAGUGGCGAACGGGUGAGUAACACGUGGGUGAUCUGCCCUGCACUUCGGGAUAAGCCUGGGAAACUGGGUCUAAUACCGGAUAGGAGCCAUUUUUAGUGUGAUGGUUGGAAAGUUUUUUCGGUGUAGGAUGAGCUCGCGGCCUAUCAGCUUGUUGGUGGGGUAAUGGCCUACCAAGGCGGCGACGGGUAGCCGGCCUGAGAGGGUGGACGGCCACAUUGGGACUGAGAUACGGCCCAGACUCCUACGGGAGGCAGCAGUGGGGAAUUUUGCACAAUGGGCGCAAGCCUGAUGCAGCGACGCCGCGUGGGGGAUGACGGCCUUCGGGUUGUAAACUCCUUUCGCUAGGGACGAAGCUUUUUGUGACGGUACCUAGAUAAGAAGCACCGGCUAACUACGUG
rnacentral:rRNA from 1 species